rnacentral:rRNA from 1 species
UACGUAGGUGGCAAGCGUUGUCCGGAUUUACUGGGCGUAAAGGGCGUGCAGGCGGUUUGUUAAGGUCAGGGUGAAAGCUCCCGGCUCAACUGGGAGAGGUCCUUGGAUACUGGCAGACUUGAGGAGGGUAGAGGUGAGUGGAAUUCCGAGUGUAGAGGUGAAAUUCGUAGAUAUUCGGAGGAACACCAGUGGCGAAGGCGGCUCACUGGUCCAUUACUGACGCUGAGGUGCGAAAGCGUGGGGAGCAAACAGG